GGCGCCGAAGCCGAAGGGCGAGGCACCGGCCCGUCACGCCGGGGAGAGCGGGUUCGAGUCCCGCCGGCGCCG
rnacentral:tRNA from 1 species